rnacentral:ncRNA from 2 species
GGUUACGGGUUUGGAAGCUGGUGGGAAUCCAGCACGGUCGCGCCACUGUGAUCGGCAGAUGCCGAGAGUCAGGACUUUUCCCGUUGCC